GGCAGGAUAGCCGAGUGGUUAGACAGGUGUUAGACUCAUGGCUUUAAAGGGCUCUGCGUUCGAAUCCCGAUGUCUGCCG